rnacentral:rRNA from 1 species
AGAGUAGCCGCGGUAAUACAGAGGGUGCGAGCGUUAAUCGGAUUUACUGGGCGUAAAGCGUGCGUAGGCGGCUUCUUAAGUCGGAUGUGAAAUCCCUGAGCUUAACUUAGGAAUUGCAUUCGAUACUGGGAAGCUAGAGUAUGGGAGAGGAUGGUAGAAUUCCAGGUGUAGCGGUGAAAUGCGUAGAGAUCUGGAGGAAUACCGAUGGCGAAGGCAGCCAUCUGGCCUAAUACUGACGCUGAGGUACGAAAGCAUGGGGAGCAAACAGGAUUAGAUACCCCCGUAGUCCCUGUCUCUUAUACA